rnacentral:lncRNA from 1 species
CGUCUCUCGGCCGUGAAGAAAUCUCGAAUUGGAAGCUAUCUGCACUGUCUUUAGUAUUUUCACCAUAUCUCCCUCAUACGAUGUCAUAUUGAGCUGAUUCAAGAGGCCUUGGAAAGAUAAUUUAACGUGCUACAAUUUCUCCUGAAAUAGAGAUUUUGAAAUUCCCACGUUUUCCAAAUGAAAAAUGGCUCCCAAUCCAAGGCUGAAAAUAUGACGAAUUGACGAGGCGAAUUCGGGAUUGAUUUUUUCUUUCCUUGUGAAGAUGGCUUGAAAGAGAGCAAGUAUAAGGAGUUUAAGAGGGGGAAAAAGAGGAUUUUCGACAAAGGAGCCUGGAAAGCAAGGUGGAUCGAUUCUUUCUCUUCUUUUUUUUUGGCUAUCAAGAGGAGUAAGCUACACCAAGCAAACUGCAGACCAUAUUUACAGAGUUUUUUUUUUCCCUUCCAAUCUCUUUCAGUUUCUUAAUGUUUAUGUUAAACUCUUUAAUUAAGUUUUUCUUCAUUUUAGUAUGAAUUAAUUUCUACCUUCUAGAGUUUGUGAUUUAGCCUAAUUAUGAUUAUG